AUCUCCCUGAGCAACCUGUGGAAUGCCAAUCCUCCCACCCCAGCCUCCCAAGUAGUUGGGACUACAGGUGUGCGUCACCACAGCUGGCUAAUUUUUUGAAUUUUUAGUAGAGGUGGGGUUUCACCAUGUUGGCUAGGCUGGUCUCAAACUCCUGACCUCAGGUGAUUCACCCACCUCGGCCUCUCAAAGUUCUGGGAGUACAGGCAUGAGCCACCACACCCGGCCCGUGAUUCUUUUCUUUUUAUUAUUCUUCCAAAAAGUGCAGCCAUUUUGGCUUUCCCAAAUAUUAUUUGUCUGCAUUCUGAUUUGAAAAAUAAAGUGUCCUCAAAAUAGGAGCUGGGAUGAAUGUGGAGCUGGAGCACAAAUCCUUUUUUUUUUUUUGACCGGGUCUCCCUCUGUUGCCAAGGCUGGAGUGCAGUGGCAUGAUCACAACUCACUGAAGCCUUGAACUCCUGGGCUCAAGCGAGCCUCCUGCCUCAGCCUCCUGAGUAGCUGGGACUACAGGCAUGCACCGCCACCCCCAGCCAUGUUUCCCAGGCUGGUCUCAAAUUCCUGGACUCAAGAGAUCCUUGUGCCUCGGCCUCCCAAAAUGCUGGUCGGCCUCCCAAAAUGCUGGGGUUACAGGCCUGAGUCAGCCCUGCCAGAGCUCAACUCUCUUGGGCUUCUCUCAAGGAUUGUAGAUUUCUCAAGUCCUGCUGCUAUUGGUUGCUCUGCAAUGCCUUCGAACUUAUUUUAUAUAUUUUGUCCAGUCUUUUUAGUUGUUUUCAACAAGAGGGUGAGUUAAAUGCCAGCUACUCUAUUAAGACCAAAAUUUUAAGUCCCUAUACUCUCCCUAGUUCUGCCUGCUUCUACCAGUAAUUGAAGGAGAUAUAAAAGCAGAAAGGAUAAAACCAUCUAUUACUUACAUCAUAUUUAUUUCCCAGAUGGGUUUUGGCAGGCCACCUCGUUUUCCAGGAGUAACCUCUAGGCUUUAGGAGAGUUACAACCUUUAGGACAGUUAUAAGUUUCAACUUCCACAGAAAUGACCAGAUCUAGCCUCUCAUCCUGGCUCUCCCCUAACUAACUGUAUGACUUUAGGCAAAUUCCUCAACUUCUUUGAGUCUAUUUUUUUUUUCUUUUGAUCUAAAAUAGGAUUAGUAGCUAACUUGCUUACCUUACAGGAAUAUUACGAGGAUAGUGAAAGUAUAGAAAAAUCUUUUGAAAGACUAUAAAAUGCUGUAGAAACAGAGGAUCUCUUAUUUAUGUUUAACCUUGCAGCCCAGAAAUAGCUUAGAACUGGGAGUAAGGGACUCAGGAUAUAGAAUUGGCUUAGUCACUAAAUAGCUUUUGACUCUGGGUAAAUCACUUUAUUCUUCCUGAUCUGUAAUAUGAGAAAGUUUAUCCAUCAAACUAUAUGUGAUAAGGCAAAAAACAAACAAUGGGGCCCAAGUCAGUUAAUCAAGGGGAGGUACCUGCUAGGUUAAAUCUCUUCCUCUUGGCAGUUGGGUUAUGUCAAUAUUUGUGUUUAAAAAAAAUCUGGAUCCCUUGGGAAAGUGAGAGGAGUACUAUGGCCUGCACUUAGAAGAUGAAGAUAUGGGUUUUUACAUCUUCUAUAAGGAAAGAAAAAGGGAAGUGGGAGGGUGAGAGAAGACAGAGGUGUGAUCACUGGCAUCAUUUCACCUGAACAGAAUACUAGGAUCUGUGCCUAUCAUUAUGCUUGGACUUAGCCCCGGAAGUGGCAAUUAUUUAAGGUAAAAACUGUUGGGGCGUGGUGACUGGAGCCUGUAUCCCAACACUCUGGGAGGCCUAGGUGGGAAGAUUGCUUGAGGCCAGGAGUUCGAAACCAGCCUGGGCAAUAUAGUGAGAAUCCUGGGUCUACCGAAUAAAAAUUUAAAAAUUAGCUGGACGUGGUGGCACACACCUAUAGUCCUAGCUCCUCAGGAGGCUGAGGCGGGAGGACCACUUGAGCCCAGGAGUUUCAGGCUGCAGUAAGCUAUGAUCUCACCACUGAACUCCAGCCUGGAUGACAAAGCAAGACCCUGUCUCUAAAAUAAAUACAUACAUAUGUACACAAAUAAGGUAAAAAUAAAAAAAAGAUAUAAGAUAUAUAUCCUUUUGUAAUCUUAUAUAUUUUUGUAUACAUUCUAUCUUAUACAUAUAUCAUAUAUAUAAGAUUUACAGGUAUAUAUGUAUUUUAAAAUAUACAAAAAGAUAUAAGAUACAUGUAUAAGAUAGAAUGAGCAAGAGACACUUCACAGUCAUAUUGACAUAUAGGACAAUAGCUUGAAAAUAUCUGUAAGCAGGUUCACUUUCAACACUGGUGUCUUAUUUUCCUGAAUUAAUAUAAGAUCUUACAACAGUGCUCCACAAUUGCAAAGUCAUGUAAUAUUUUUCCAAGUUCUUUCUUCUGUAUUAAAUUACUUAAUUUUCAUGAUAAUCUUAUGAGAUAGGAUUAGGCAGGGUGGGAAAGACUGAAGAGGCCCAGAAAGGUAAAGUGAGUUGCUCUCGAUCCAGAAUACAACACACAUCUACUCUGUGAGGGAUUCUGUGUAUGUCUGCGCACAUACGCAUGCAGAACUGGGGAAAUAGAAAUAUGUCCUUACUUUGGUGAUUGGAAUCCGCAUCUACAUACCAAAUAAUCUAAGCCAGAAUCUGUGGUGGUGAUGUUGUUUUCACAUAUUUUACAAAUAUUUAUUGAUUGCCUAAUAAUAUUGUGGCGGGCCUUGAGCCUGGGGAUACAGUGAAGAACAAGAUAGAGAACCUGGCCAGGAGCAGUGGCUCACACCCAUAAUCCCAGUACUUCGAGAGGCCAAGGCAGGAGGAUGGCUUGAGCCCAGGAGUU
rnacentral:lncRNA from 1 species